GAUGAACGCUGGCGGCGUGCCUAAUACAUGCAAGUCGAGCGAACAGACGAGGAGCUUGCUCCUCUGACGUUAGCGGCGGACGGGUGAGUAACACGUGGAUAACCUACCUAUAAGACUGGGAUAACUUCGGGAAACCGGAGCUAAUACCGGAUAAUAUAUUGAACCGCAUGGUUCAAUAGUGAAAGACGGUUUUGCUGUCACUUAUAGAUGGAUCCGCUCCGCAUUAGCUAGUUGGUAAGGUAACGGCUUACCAAGGCAACGAUGCGUAACCGACCUGAGAGGGUGAUAGGCCACACUGGAGCUGAGACACGGUCCAGACUCCUACGGGAGGCAGCAGUAGGGAAUCUUCCGCAAUGGGCGAAAGCCUGACAGAGCAACGCCGCGUGAGUGAUGAAGGUCUUCGGAUCGUAAAACUCUGUUAUUAGGGAAGAACAAAUGUGUAAGUAACUAUGCACGUCUUGACGGUACCUAAUCAGAAAGCCACGGCUAACUACGUG
rnacentral:rRNA from 1 species